rnacentral:sRNA from 1 species
UACGGGAAGGAUGAGAAGCUUCGACCAAGGUUCGAUUCGAGCGCAGCGAGAAAGCGUUGCCGCAGGCAACGACCCGAAGGGCGAAGCGCGCAGCGCUGAGUCAUCCUUCCCCCACCACCA